AUGCUCGCUUGGGCAGCACAUAUACCAAAAUUGGAAGGGCGCAGGGAAGAUUAGCACGGCCCCUUUGCAAAUUCAUGAAGCAUUCCACAGUUUU
rnacentral:snRNA from 1 species